UAUAUGACGCUCAUCCUAAAAAAAACCAAAAUAAGAGUGUUAAUAGCCAGUUAAAGGGCAAAAUCCCUAAAACUAACAGAGUGACUUCCAUAAAAAACCAAAAUUUCCUUCAAUACUCCCGCAAAACUGAAGUGGAACAACCUCCCGACGCAGAUCUGCACCGCCGCUCCAUCGCACCGUCUUUCGACCGCUUCGUAGCCUCCGUUGAAUGCCGUCUAUACCACCGUUGCCUUCAAUUCCGAUAUCGGUUAUGAUGUUUAUCAGAUGAUUUUCAGUUGGGUUUUUUGUCCUGCAAAUAUGUUGGUGUUGUGAUGUUGUCUGCCUUAUAUGCUGCAGUCUAGUUAAAUUAGAAGGAGGGGGCGUGCACCAAAUUAGCCGUAGCUGAGUUCUUACAAUUACGGUUUCCAUGAGGAUGGUUUGAAGAUCUUUCUUUCCAACCUAUAUUCAUAUCUUUCCGUGUCAAUGGAAGAUAAAAAGAGUAAUGCAGCAGGCCAAACAGAAGAGCAUUGCUUCCCGUUGAUCCUUUUCUGAUGGCCCUGGCUAGGAAAUUCAACCCUAGAGAAUAUGAUUUGUCGCAAGUAACUAUCUUGGAGUUGCUUGAUAAUAAAUGACUUGUCUUAGGAAUUCAGAUUUUGUUGCAAACUUGACAAGGUUAAUGAAGAUAAUGAGGUAUAAGAACGUUUUUUUGGGCCUUAUAUUCCUUUAGAAAACUCCACUACAAAUAAUUGUACUAAAUUAUUGAUGCCUUGGUGGAUGUCUGCGUCUUGAAAAUCAAAUCACUUUAAUUCUGGUUGUGUUGUGGAUGCACUUUGUUGAUUGAAUGUACUGCCUGUAAUCGACUUGUAAUUGACUGCCAUUCACGCAUCCUAACCUCUGCAAUAUAAUGCCUCUGUCACUACCCGUCCCCUUCCUAGAUGUUGUUUUCCUCUAAAUUUCUCGUGUUAAAAUCAAUCCACCAAUACUUGAUAAAUAAGAAAUCUUUGAAAUAGUAAUUUUAUGUGUAGUUUUCAUCCUCUGGAAUGCCUUGAACUACAAUAUCAGUAAAAGUUUCUUCUUCCAAAUAGUACAUCACCAACUUUUUUUCAUCGGUAUCCUUCUCAUCCAUCACUUUUUUGUUACUUUCAUCGGAUUUUGUAUGAUUGAUUUCGUUACUUUCGUCGAAUUUCUAUCUUCCCUACUAAGAUGUUCAUGAAUUGUAGAUUGAGAAGCCUUAUGAUAAUUAGCACAAUCUGCUAGAUUUUUUUUUGUCGGUAUACGAAAUCAAUGAAUGGGUUUUAUCUGGGACUAUGUUGAAUUGGGGAUGGGGUGUGAGAUUGAUUUACUUUAAGGAAUACACCUUACACAAAGCAUUCUUUUCCUUUAGUCAACAUAACCGUCCAAGAUCGGGCAAUCAAACCAUAGUUUUAGAGCUUGUUCUAGCUAUUGGGUACAAGAAAGUCUCUUUUCAAACUUGUGUUUGGUUAGCAAACAGAGAAAACCCAAUCUUAGACAAGCAAUCUAGUGAGCUUAAACUUUAAAAUUGUAAUUUGGUCCAUUUUCCAUUGAAUCUGUCGAGGCAGGUUAAUUUCUCCCAUAUUUAGGGUACUGUUUGUUUCCUCAAAAUUUGUUUAUAAGUUCAUUUAGAAUUAUGCAUACUAUUUGUGCUAGAGCUUUUGGACUUGGUAAAAGUUACAACCUUGUUGCACCUUCUAUUAGCAAAAACAAAAGAGAUUAUAGGUUUCACGAUCUGUCUAUACGAUCAGUAAAGAGCAAGGAGUCACGAUCUGUCUAUACAAUUAUACAUGCUCAGUCACUUAUGUAGAUCUCCUUACUUCCUGAUAUUGUUAGAAGUUAAGUUAUGAGAUUUUCCGUGUAAUCUUAUUAUCUAAGAUAGUAUUGUAGAUGACUUAAAGUUGUGCAUUACUAAAGCUAGGGAGGAUUUCUUGUAUGUUGCCAGCAAAUCUGCAGUGAAGCUUUGUUUUGCUUCUAAAACCUUGAGUUUCCAAGACCUGCAGACAUGAGCACAUCCCCAACAGAAUCCCUCACAACCAUCCCAUAUCCCGUAGCAUUUGUAGUUGUUGCAGCGUCAAUAUUGAGUUUAAAUAAACCAAUAGAUGGGGUUGUCCAUGUAUGAGCUUCACUGUGGGAAGGUGCAGCACAUUCGUCUCGCUCUUUUGCAGCUUCAAACUCGCCCAGGAGGUUCAUCAGCCUAUUACAAGCCAACACCAAAUCAACUCUCUUCCUCUCAAACACCCACAAACACCAAAAUGUUGGUUUAAUUAAGAGUUCAUGGAACUGUGAGGUCCUAAUUAAACCUUGACAUCAAAAAAAAUUAGUUUAAAUUUAGGUGACCAUUAUAUCUUAUAGAGCAUGGUUAUUCAUUACUAGUAGCUUUGCUUUUCUAAAUACUUAGCGCCUUAAGCUAGAGCCUUUUCAUUAGAUGGAAAGGCUUCUGGUCCUUUCUGUAUUUAUAUGUUUUGUUAUGUGUUCUGACUAUUCUUUUACCAGUUGUAUACUAACUCUUCUUGGAAUUCAAUGAAAAUGAAUCAGUACAAUAAAUUUGUAUCUUUUUUCUUCUCAAUCUAGUUUGGCUCAUUUUGUAAUAUUCAUUUACCAUAUAUUCCUAUAAUAUGCCUCUAUAUUCUGUCUCAUUGUCUUCAGGUGUGAAACAACACCUGUAUUUGCUGUAUUUGCUGUACAGUAACUGGCAUAUUAGGAGAAUGUAUAUCUCAUGGAGUCAUAACUGUCGUAGAAAAGUUAAACGCCUUGAAUUUAAUUUGAAUGCAUCCCAUACUGAGCCCAUGGCCUUUGUAGAACAUAGAGGAAAGUUUAAUGACAAGUUCAAUGAGAGAAAUAUACUCUCAUCACUUACUGGUUUUGUUGCUUGUUGCAUGUUCUUUGUUAAAUACUGACGAGCGCGCUAAGGGAGAGGUGGAUCUCAUAUGUUACCGAAUAUUACCAACCAAAUAACGAUGAAGAUCAAGAUGAUGAUGACGAUGAUCUAGUGUGACUUAAGCUAGCUCAAGGAGAUGGUUACCUCAGUUUAGUCCUGCAUUUCUGCUGUUGCUGCCGAAUCUGUUCCUACUGUUGCUGUUUUUUUUUUUUUUUUUUUUUUUAAUAGUGAUAUUGGAAUUUUUUUGCCGUAACUUUUGUAGAUCAUUUAUAUUUUAUCAAUCAAUAAUAUGAUUUUGUUAUUGAAUGAAUAAUAUUA